rnacentral:rRNA from 1 species
UACAGAGGGUGCGAACGUUACUCGGAAUUACUGGGCGUAAAGAGCGCGUAUGUGGUUUACUAAAUUGGAUGUGACAGCCCACGGCUUAACCUUGGAAUUGCAUUCAAAACUACCAUGCUAUAGCACGAUGGAGGGGGGUAGAAUUCAGAGUGGAGCGUCGAAAUGGGUACAUAUUCUGAGGAAUACUCAGGGGGCGAAGGCGGCCCCCUGCAUUGAUACUGAUUGUGAGGUGCGAAAGCGUGGAGAGCAAACAGGAUUACAUACCCUGGUAGCCCACGCGGUAAUCGAUGUCUACUAGCCGUUGGGGAGCUCGCCUCUUUAGUGGCGCAGCUAACGCGAUAAGUAGUCCGCCUGGGGAGUACGGCCGCAAGAUUAAAACUCAAAUGAAUUGACGGGGGUCCGCACAAGCGGUGGAGCAUGUGGUUUAAUUCGAUGCACCGCGAAGAACCUUACCAGGCCUUGACAUCCUGAGAACUUUUGAGAGAUCAAUUGGUGCCUUCGGGACAUCAGUGACAGGUGUUGCAUGGCUGUCGUCAGCUCGUGUCGUGAGAUGCUGGGCUAAGUCCCGUAACGAGCGCAACCAUUAUCGUUAUUCCCCAGCACGUAAAGGUGGGAACUCUAAGGAGACUGCCGGUGACAAUCCGGAGGAAGGAGAGGAUGACGUCAAGUCAUCAUGGCCCUUACGGCGUGGGUUACACACGUCCUACAAUGGGAAGUACAAAGGGCGGCAAACCUGCGAAGGGGAGCCCAUCCCAUAAAACUUUUCGUAGUCCGGAUCGGAGUCCGCAACUCGACUCCGAGAAGUCGGAAUCCCUAGUAAUCGCGAAUCAGAAUGUCGCGCUGCAUUCGUAGACGGGCCU